rnacentral:tRNA from 1 species
UCCGGUAGACCCGCAGGGUGUGGGAGCAAGCUGUUAACUUGCCAUAGUUUCGUUCGAUGCGAAAUGCCGGAGCCA